UAGUUUCUCCCACUAUAAUUAGAAAAGAAUUAAAUAUAGAACAGGCUUAUAAACAUGUCUUGAGAAAACAUCCCAUGCCAUUUUGGCUGUUCCUAUCUGAAGCAAACAAUCAGAAAAACUAGUUACAGAAUCUCAUUGUUUUGCUAAUAGUAUAGAUCCCAAGGACAGCAUUAUCUGUGCCACAAAUAUAGACAAGACAUAAAGUACAAAUCUUUGUAGAUUCAUAAGAAUGUAGGAUCUAGUAGUUUUCUCAUCUGUGCAUUUUCUUACCAUCAAAAUACAGAGGGGCUUAGGGAGGCUGAGCCCCCCAUACAAGACAAGAGUCCCCCAAAAGUCCCCCCCAUAAGAGAUGAGAGCCCCCAGCCCUCCCUGUGUCUUUCUAAGCAGCUCAAGCGGCAGUGGCUCUUUCCAGCUUCCACCACCACAGACCCCCACAGAGUGCGAGCGUAAUUCAGACCCUGCUUACCAUCAACCUGAAUAAUACUUAAUUUCUCUUCCCUUGUAGUAGUGCUCUACUGCUAUGUAUAGGCAAGUCUGCAUCUAGUAUACAAUUUUAAAGCUCUGGAAGAAUAUGCAAGUCAUUUGCUCCAAAACUCAAACAUUCUUGGAUACUUAAAAUCUGAGGAAUAAGAUUUCAGAACAGCCACUCGCUAGGAGUAUUAGGGGCAAGAAAAUGAGUAUAAAGAUGGAGUUGGAUAAGUUUAUGACAGGGAUUACACAAAAUGAUUGCCUGUGAAGUAAAGAACUGAAAUUCCUGUUCUAAGAGGGAUGGACGUUUGAGCUCAUUGUUUCUCACUGCAGUCAUUAUGGUUUCUGUUUAGGCUGUGACAAGAUUUUAGUAACAAAGAAGCCAAAGUCUCUCCACAGUUGAAUGAAUGUACUUCAGGAGGCUGCAAUCUACAAUGUUUUGUCUUUUUUUUUUAUCACAGGUCCUUCUCUAAAACUCAACAAACUCCAUGAAAAAUGCAUGCUUGUUAAACAGACAAAAGGAAAAGACAAUGAAAAACAAAAUGUUUCUAAUGUGGAUGACUAGUUUUACAGUCUAUAGACAGCACCCAGUAAAAUAAGUGAGAUACAAAACACAACAGUGCCACCUUUCUGACGAUCACAUUACUGCAUGUAUGAACUGUACAGAUAAUGAGACAACUUUACAGUUUAUUUUGCACAUUUUUCCCAUAGGGUUUCUAAGCAAUGGCAUACACUAGAGGGUGAGCUCAACUCCACAGGCUGGGUGCACUGAGGCAUGCAGUAUGGCUGAAAGAAUAAAAACCAACAAAAUGUAAUUUAAAGACUCAACGUUUUCUCUCUCACAUAUGCACUGCAGUUCAUGCAGGGAGGCACCUGGUACAGGACACAGGGAGGCACUUGGUGUAGUAUUUAAUCCCAUCUUGGGACAUGCACACAAUGCUUGUUGGGGCUCUUUGUUGGCUAGUCAGGUUUUUCAAUUUGGAAUCACAGAAAACUAGGGCUAGAAGUCACCUUGUCCAAACCUCUGCAAAAGCCAGGAUCGUCCCUGUCUAAACAAGGCCAGAUAAAUGCUUAUCCUGCCUGAAUUUAAAAACGUUUGAUGAUGGAGCUUCCUACAUGGUACUACAGCUUCAGUAAAAAUGAAGCUUUCUUUUCCAGGUGAAGCACUUCUGAAUAUGUAAACAAAAAUGCUGCUGCAGAAGGGGGGCUGUCUAUCUAGAGAAGAAAUUGGGCCUGAAGACUGGCCAUGCGAGUCUUAAACCCGCAGCUUUUUAUGUGAUUACACCAGUUUGAUGUAUGAAAACAAGAAAUACAAGCUUUAAAAACCAGCAGAGGUGGAAGGACAGCAAGGAAUGGUAUGAGAAGCAGUAUGUGGUGAGAUGGAUGGAUUUCCAGAAGUGCAGAUACAAGAGGCAGCCAGAGUGCAAGAUGUCCAGGAGUUAUUUUCAAGUUAACAGUAGAUAUGCUCUGCGAAGAUUCACCUGUGCAGGCUCUACAAGCAAGAUGGGCAUUUUCCUGCCUAGAUUUAGGCACAGAUUAGGCACCUGGGAAACUACAUUCAUGAAAAUGGACCACCAACCAUGAUACACGAGACUGGGAACCAAGAAACGUAACUGCUUCCCUGGAAUGGAUUCUUGCCUUGUAAUUUUACUAGCAAUUCCAAUCGUGACAAAUAAAAUGUUUUAUGAAUCAAAAAGUCCAAUUGAUAAGGGUUUGUAUGGACUCAGCCUUUAUUUUCCAGGUGUUUUUCAAAGGCUGAGUUCCUUCUGCCUGUUGCAAAAAUGAGAUGCAAUGUGUCAUCAGGCAGAGGAAGUACACUAAAGUGUUUGCAACUGAAUGUAAAAAAAAUACGUAUCAAUGGGAAAACAUUUUAUGUUACUUAUCUUUUUUCCUACAUAAAUGAACACUUUGAUUAAGCAGUUUUUAAGGAGAAAAUAAAAUAACAAUAAAAUCUGGGGAAAGAUAUGUUAGAAACAGCUGGUGGGCGUAUUCUCAGGGUUGUAUUCUUUCUCUUCUCAACAUCUGUGAUCAGUCUCAAAUAAUAACUUUUGUCUUGUACAGAUUGCAUGAGUACUUAUUACAGUGCUGUCAAUAUUAAGGGAAAAUGCAGAAGCCAGUGCCUGAUUGAAGUUGUUGGACUGUGCAGUACCAGAUGCUCAGGGGCAAGAGGAACAUCCAUUCAGGCCAUAGAGCAGCUCAGGAACUGUUACCUGGAGACCACUCUAGACCAUGCUAAAGCAGGCAGCAUAAGUCCUUGGGCAGUCACCCUGCAGGGAGGAGAAAAAAAAAGCCUGACAUAGAAGUGGAUCUUCUAUGCUUCAGAAAAUGGGGCCUGCUCAUAAAUUGUUUCUAAUGUGUUAAACACUGGAUUCUUGCCUGGAUCCAAAAUUCAAACUGUAUUCACUACCCCUACUGCAACUGAAUGGCAUUAGUUCUUGCAGCACCAUAGGGUCUAGACUUGAUCUUAAAAGUGCAUGGAGUGAGAACAAGUCUGAAUGUACAAUAAAUAAUUGUUGCUAAAGCCACAAGAGAAAAUUCUUGUCAUUAAUAAACUGUUAAAUUUCUUCAUAAAGAACAUUUUCUGCAGCUUUUUCUUUAAAAAGAAAGAUUUUGCAACUGAUUUUUUGAGGGAUAGGUCUUCACUGGAGAUGGAUUAUCUGUAUAAUUUAUGGACAAUUCUUAUAUUUGCUUUUUCCAGCUGCAUGAAGGCCAGUUAUCUGUUUAGCUGUAAAGAGCUGUGACCUGUGGGGAGACAGUGUAAAUAAGACUACUAGAUUUAGCACACAGCAUCACACCACUGAUCUGCUAAUCUAACACCCUGAUAUAUUCAUGACUAAAUUUAGAGUGCAAGACACCCUGGUGCAGAGGAUUUAAGUGGGACUUAAAAAGAUGCAUAGGCUUUGUGUUGUUGCUCUACCCAGGAAGACUGACUGACAGUGAAUUUAAUACUCUUCAUCAGUAGUUCACAGAUAGAUUGAAUUAUAUUGCUUUGUCAAUUUUAACUACAAAUUUGGGCUUUUUCCUUUUUCUUUUUUUGGAAAACAAAUUUCAACUUGUGGAUCACUCAUAAACUGUUCUUUGCAACAAAUUCUUCAAGAUUUGCUGUUUAAGUUGUAUGACCUACUGCCUGCAACAUGUAUGAAUGUUUUUUGUCAGUGAUUGACUUAACCACUACAGAUAUAUUCUGCUUUUGUUCAACACAUUUAAACAUAAAGCAAAGUGUACUUUUUGUUCAAGUGAAUUUCAGCUGCAAGUCACUGUUGGUAAAACAGUAAAUAGAAAUUGGUGGAAACAUAUUUGUAGCCACAAUCUAUUUAAAAACGAACAAAAUGUUUUUCAAGAAUGGUCUUUAUCCUGGAUGAGUCUGAAUUAUAUUAAGAAUUGCUUCAUAUAUUGGAGAGGAAGGAUAGUUCAAGUCACUGCUUUAACUACAGGUUUCCUGUGUGACAUUUACCAAUGAUUUAGGUUGAGAACCUCAACAUUAUUUGAGACUGAUAAUUUAGGUGGAUUUUCCUAAUACAAUCUCAGUCAAGGUAAUGACUGCUUGAGGGAAAAUAUAUACAACAAAUAUCUUGCUAAUACAUAACUGUAGCAUACAGAAUCAUAUUGCUAUAAUUUGGUCUUUUGCACACUAUGAUUAUUUUGAAGCUAUUGUAUUUAUUGAAUGGGGAUAAGAUUGAUAUUGGGGACUCCAAUUCAUAUGGCAUGUAGAAUAAUGGAUUCUUUGAAAAUGCAUAUUCCUUUUAUAGUUUCUUAUUUUUGACAGCUUCAUUGUAUAUUGCAUUCAAAUGGGAAAACUAAACCAGAGGCCAUCUGUACUAAUUUUAUCAUAGCAAAUUAUAUCAGUAGCAUAAUUAAAGGUGGUAAUUCAAAAUUAGGUUGUCUGACAACCCAUUUAUAAGCAAGGCAGCUCAUUUCUUCAUGACAUCAAGGCUAGGAAUGUGCUUAAGGGACGGUGCCAACUCCUGUUGAUUAGGUUUGGCAUUUUAAAAAUUUCUGUUAGAAUAGAUUCCCUAGUCACCACCUCCUUGUGUCUGAACCAGUUUAGAUGAACUCUUCUUCAAGAGUAUGCAAUUUAAUUACCAGGGAUGACAGGGCAUUUUAUUCAUAAUUAUUUUCAAUCUGCCAAUCUUGUUCAACAAGCGCUGAUAAUCAACUUGACAAACAGAAUCCUUGUAAAUACCACACAUGCAAGAUGACAGAGACACCGAACAGACCAUCCAGUCUAAUAUGGAGUAUAUUUAUUUUUUCUUUGUUGUUACUAUCCCCUACUAAAGGCAAAAAAAGAAAAGGUAAAAAGCAAAAUAUAAAAACAAAACAGAAGCAAACCGACAAUCAACCACUCAUGACAGCACAGACGAUAGUGGAAUUAAUGCACAGCCUCCUCACUAUAAACCCUACACAUUUCCAAAUCACUAUUAACAUGUUUCUGGAUCUUUGAUUUGUAAUUGUCCUGGAAAGCUUUCCAUCCAGAAACUAAUCAGAAGAUAAGAGCUUUUGUGCUGGAAAAUUAUUGUUUAAUGUUGCAUAUUCAGGUUUUUCAGAAUUUAACAGGCAAAGAGGAGACUGAUGGAAGUGUUUGAUAUAAAUAUGUUUCACACAUGUAAAACAUUGGGUUUUAAUGGGCUCACAUUUUAUAAAAGAAGAUAUCAAUGGAGAUAUCAAUGGAGAAUUCAUGCAGAAUGAUUUCACACAAAGGGUAAACGUAUGGGAGAAACUAUCCAGAAAGGUGCUUAAGUCCAUCCACAAUUCUCUCAUGAGUGAGGCCAUCUGUAUUUUCAAGAAACUUUGGCUCAGGAUGGUAUUUGUGGCAAUGGUGAACAGGAAGAUACUAAGAUACUAACAGGGGCAAGUAUGUUGUAGUAGAAAUCUUGUUCAGUGCCUAAAAUGACUAAUGCUCUUGUUCAUGUACACAGUGUACUUUCUAGCAGUGAUUCAUCAUAGAAUCUUCCAGAUCCAAAGACUCAUAUAUUCAAAUUGCUGAAACACCUUGUCCUAUUAAUAUAACAAUACUCUGGAGAGCAGAAGCCUGAGAGGAUGAGCAAUAGUUUAAAUAGCUUUAUAUAUUUUGGCUCAAGUAAUAUUAAGAUCAGUCACAAAGUGGUCUGCGAUUGUUUAUUAAAGAUUUUUUUAAUCCAAAAAAAUGCUGGUUUGUCAAGCUGAAGCUUUUGUGGAAAUGUAUUGAUUUCAAUGGUUUUUUUCAUUGGGAAGGUUUGUCAGCUCUUAAAUGAUCAAAACCACUAUUUUCAAAACCACUUGUUUUCCAACCAGAUCUCAUCAGGACCUACCGAAAAUCAUUACCAUAUAAUAGCUGUUCAGCAAACUUUCAGUGAGUUGGCAGUCCCAGCUCAGAUAUUAUUGGACACAUUUCUACAUCACUUGAUUCAUCAUGGUGUUGUUGCAGACUUAGAAUAUACUUUGUGUAGUACCAGUGCAAAAGAAAAUAUACUUCUGUCCUGAAGAGUGUAAAGGUUACAUUCAACGUAGAUAGUAAUGUCCCCAUCUUUGUACACACAUAAAAAAUGCCUGGCUCUGAGUCUGAAUAUAUAUCAUCUGGGUGCUUCUAGCUUCUUUUCUUUGAAAAGUACAUAUAUUACAUAAAAUAACUACAUAUAUCAUUAUUCCCUUGUUGGAAAAAAGAUGUUUCUCCCCUGCUACCAGAAAAAAUGUAAAAAAAAGUUCAAUUAGAAUGAGGACCUGAAUUUGAGUUGCAGAGGCUCUGAGCUUUGCAUGAAAGUCCAUGAAAGCUGCAGAUACUCCGGACCUCUGAAAGUCAAAGCCUUCCUUGGACAAUGUUUAGGAAUCCUUGGGUCAGUGGUGAAUGCAGGGGACUGAAUUUGAUGGCCUGGGAAGCUCCUUCCAGUUCUGUCUUUUUGUGUCUGUGUGGCAUAAGCCAGCACUGUGCUAAGACACCUGAUCUGGCUUUACACAUAUGAGCUCUGGAACCAGAAACAGACAUGUGGGUGUGUGAUUGCACCCAGGAUAAUAAGUUGACAAAUAGAAUUACCUGUCUGCUCAAAGGGCUGUGCCAACACUGAGCUAGCUCACAGUAUCACUGCUUGCCACUGCCUUGCACCAUAUAGGAUAGUCAUUUUUUCACUCAAAUGAGUAAAUCAAGUUUAUUUCCCAAUGAAGUGGCAUUAAAAAACAAAUUCUAAGUGGUAAGAUUAUCUAUCCGUUAAAGAUACCAACAAAUAAAAAAUAUUUUUAAUUCUAAGUGUUUACUGGAUUGCUUUCCUUCUCUAUUAGUAUGGUAGGUUAACUUUUUUUGAGGAAAGGGUCUAUUUACUCAGGGGUCCAAGUCAAAAUUCUGUCCUUGCUAUAAAAUCAAGAAAAUUGCUAGCUAAGCUUUGAAUUAUCAGAAGUUCUAUAGUUUUUAUCAUCUCUGUGUUGCAGCAAUGCAAUUACUUUGAUUUGUGAUUCCCUUUUACCUCUUUAGGACAUAUAUUCCUCGGCAUUAUCAUUUUCGUAAUAAAAAUGUAGCCCAGCUCACUGAAAAACGAACUCAUUUUCCCGAGUCAGCAACUAAAGGCACUGGAACUGAGCAAAACCAAAAGUGAGCACAAAUUAAAAAAUUCCUAACGUGCCAAGUCUUAACCAUAAUUCCAUCUUCCAUCUUCAGCAGCUUUUUUGUUUAAGCACCUUCUUGACUUUAAUUCAGCUGGGACACGGUAUUUUAUUCCAGAAGUCUCAUAAACGGCUGAAAGUUUAAUUAAGCAGCAAAGACAAUUGUCAGCUUUGGGGAUGGUUAAUGUUACUAUUACUAACCUUUCUAUUACACUAACAUCCAGGAGGCCCAGUUAGAUUGGGACUCAAUUUUGAUGGGCUGUACCCAAACAUAUAGUAAGACACACACACACGUGAAGGGUUUAUGAACUAAGAUUAUUUUCUGUUCAUUCCUAUAUAUACAGUGUUUGUGUCUCCUAACGUAUAGCUUGGGGGCUAAGCAAACUUUAUCCUGCAAAAAUAGCCCUAAAUAUUCCAACUGACUGACCUUUUAGAUUUGAGACAGCAUGGGCUGGAACACAGUCACUGAGCUCACUUUACUGUGAUCCUCAAGGGGAUUUUCAUAGACUUCUAUACACACUUCUAUUUGACUGAGUUGUUAAAUAACAUGGCACUGAACUAUCUCAGAUUCCCAUUCUUAAAACAUUUAUAUCUUAAACAAUGCCUGUGAUGUAACUAGGGUAGGGUAGUUGACCCAAGCACCAGCCUGGUGGAAGAGGGGAAACAGCUACCACUACAGCUAUGCAAUCAUGCUGGCAGCAUGUGGAAGUGGCCACUGUCUCUGUGUGUGGCAGCUUCCCUGGGCACCUGCCCAUGUCAUUAUGUGAGGCCACAUCUGGAGUACGGUGUUCAGUUUUGGAAGGGAUGUGGACAAAUUGGAAAGAGUCAAGCAGAGGGCCACAAAAAUGGUGAGGGGGUGGUGGACAUGGCUUAUGAGGAGCGGCUGAAGGAACUGGGCUUAUUUAGUCUAAAGAAGAGAAGACAGAGGGGAUUUAACAGCAGCCUUCAACUACGUGAAGGGAGGUUCAAAAGAGGAUGGAGUGAAGCUGUUCUCAGUGGUGGCAGGCAUGGCU